GCACACUGUACAAGUUUUCAUUUAGUGGAGACUGUCCCUUGCUGGUCUUAAUCCCAUCCAUCCUUAUUUCCCCAUCAGAUACUGUUUCCUCCGUGAUUGCUUAAUGCCUUGUAAAUUGUUCUUAUUUUUCUUACAUUCCAGUUUUACUUUUUACUCGUACGCAUUUGACCCCAUCUCGAAGGUAAUUUCAUUACCUUCCCAGUCCUUUGCUAAUCUAUAUUUUGGAAUUAACAUUGGUUGUCUUUUAUUUUUCUUCAGCAUUUUUCUUUAUCUUUUGUAAUGAAGGUAAAAGAACCUCCUUACACUUCAAGGUCUGUGUUUUUCUUCCUACUUUGAACAUUAGUUUAAAGUAAACAUUAGUUUAACUAAACAUCAGUUCCUUUAAUUUCUCCCAUUCUAUCCCUCUCCCUUUCAGAAGAUAAUUUUAAGGGGGAAGAACUCAGUUGGCCUAUAACUGGCAGACAAUGCGAUAGUGGUUGAGCAGAAUGAGGGCGGCCUAUUAAGCAUGAUAAAUCAACGGAAUAGUUUGGGUUAGAACUGGUGUUGGGAUUAGCGUUGAAGGAAGUUGAGCAUAAAAGGUGAUCGUGCAGACACUUCCAGCACCCCUUGGGCCACUGCAGAAGAAACAGUGAUGAAACUUCAGGUAUUGGCCACAAGAUGGCACUAUGGCGCCACCGAGAUCUAAGGGGCUCUGGGCAGAGUCUGGGAGAGCAGCCUGGGAGGAAAAGGGUUAAGAAAAACUUAGGCGUGGAUCCACUACUCGACAGCUGUUGAAGAAGUUUUCAGUUAUUGCCAAACUACCUACAGCUAUGGAAGAAGUGGGAGGCCCCUCUAAACUGUAAUGAGAUCCACAGUUGAAGGAUUUGGGCGAAGCAGCCUUGAUGUCAGGGGCAGGUGCAGACAAGGAGCAACUGUGUCAGAGGAAUAUGGGAAACCCAGGGGGCGGAGUGCACCCAAAAGUCAGAGCGUCGCAGCCCUACUCCACCUCCCCUGCAGGCAAGCUAAGCAACAUCUAGGAGAGGAGACGCUGACCUCACAUGAGCCAAGUCACAGGGGGAUCCUCCCGGGGCGGGGAGAAUCUGCAGGGGUAGGGGGAGUGACAUCCCAGGCAGCCCCACCUGGCCAUUGGAGAAGAGCCCCCCAGCUCCCUUUCUCAGGCCUGUGGAACAGAGCAUUUAGUGGGGACAGCCCUCUUCUCGCCCUCACCCUGCCAUGAGCCCCAACCUCUUUUGUGUGAUUCUUUGUCUGCUGGUGGCAGGUCCCAUGGAUGCAGCAGUCACCCAGAAGCCAAGAUACCAUAUUAUACGAGCAGGAAGCAAGAUGGUCCUGGAUUGUUCUCAGGAUAUGAACCAUGUGGGAAUGUUCUGGUAUCGGCAAGAUCUGGGACAGGGGCUGAGGCUGAUCCAUUAUUCAAAUGGCGUCGGUAGCACUGGCGAAGGGGAUGUCACGGAGGGGUACAGUGUCUCCCGAAAGAAGAAUGAACAUUUCCCCCUGACCCUGGAGCCGGCCAGCACCAAGCAGACCUCCCUGUACCUCUGUGCCAGCAGUGAAUCCACAGCACGGCACAGUCAGCUGCUCUCCGCACAAAAACCUCGGCCACAGGCGUGAGGUGGACACUUCUUCCUGAGGCCACGUCUCACCAGGGGAGAAAAACUGCUCUUUCUGAAGCUCUCACCAGACUAGUGUGAACUGAGGUCCAUCAGCGUGAAGGGUGUGAGUGUGAGUGUGUGUGUGUGUGUGUUUGUGAGCGUGUGUGUGUGUGUGUGCGCGCUCUAAUUUGAAAAGACACAUGACCCCAAUGUUCACUGCAGCACUAUUUACAAUAGCCAAGACGUGGAAGCAACCUAAAUGUCCACUGACAGCUGAAUGGAUAAAGAAGAUGUGGUGCAUAUACACAAUGGAAUAUUACUCAACAAUUAAAAAAAGUGAAAUGAUGUCAUUUGCAGCAAUAUGGAUAGACUUAGAGAUUAUCAUACAAAGUGAAGUCAGAGAAAGACAAAUAUCGUAUGAUAUCACUUAUACAUGGAAUCUAAAAAUGGAUAUAAAUGAACUUAUUUACAAAACAGAACUAUAACACACCAUUGUAAAGCAAUUAUACUCCAAUAAAGGUGUAUAAAAAAAAACACAACAGAAAUAGACUCACAGACAUGGAAAACAAACUUACGGUUACCAGAGGGGAUAGGAGGGUUGGGGGGGGCAGGGAUAAAUUAAGAGUUUGGGAUUAACAUAUACACGCUACUAUGUAUAAAAUAAACAACAAGCACUUACUGUAGAGCACGGGGAACUAUAUGCAAUGUCUUGUAAUAACCUAUAAUGGAAAAGAAUCUGAAAAAGAUGAUAUGUAUGCACAUAUAACUGAAUCACUUUGCUGAACACCUGAAGCUAACACAACAUUGUACAUUAAUGAUACUUCAAUUUAAAAAUGGUUAGAAAAAGUAAAUGCAAAUAGCACUUAGUGUUACGUCACUCAAUUCAGAAUAUUCUGGUAUAAAUAAAGCCGAAGGACAGCAGCAUCUAACAUGAAAUUUAUAUUUCACUUCCUUUUUCAGCGCAGAGCUGAACAGAAAACAGCCGUGCAGCUUUAAAUUCCCUGAGCGAUCUGGGGCUCUCCAAGCUUGAAACUGUUACACAAAGGUGCCUGGGGCUCAUUGAAUACCAAGCAAGAAUUCUUUGGAGAAAAACAAUUCUCAGUAACAAAUUAUGAAACACGUAAGUAAACAAACCACUUAGGGGAAAUGUGAGUAGAUGCAUCAAACAGCAGCAUUAAACCCCGAGAUGAUCAACUGUAGAAUUAUCAAAAGAAAGAUGACAAACUAAGUCUCUCCUGUGGGCACAGGGCAGUAUUUUGCAUCUUCGGAGGUUAUGAGGUCUUUUGAGGUCACUGAGAACUUCUCACGUUCUCAGUAUCUUAUGCCUGUGACUGUUCUCAUCUUCUCUUAUUUGUGUGUGAUUCAUUUCUAAGUUGAACUACAUGCAUAAAAUUGUAUAUGAGUCCCAUCUUUUAGGCAAUUUGUAAAUUAAGAAAGAACCUCAUUUUUAUCAUCCCUUUGGCUUGGAUGAAAAUCUAUGAGCUUUUCAAUUUUUUUUUCUUGCAAAAUAUUACAAAAUGAUAUUGGCAACAAUUUAUUCUCCCCCAGCCUGUAUCCCUCCUCGGCUUCUUACAGGUGGAAGUCCAUACACAAGAGCAGCGUUUCUUCACGUGGGAUCCAGUAAGUCCAAGUCUGGGGGUCCAUAGUUGGGCUUCACAGGAAGGGCAAACCCCAUGUGCUGCUCACCCCUUGACCUGCUGUGCCAUGUACACCCUGGGUUGGGGGAGCGCUGGCUGACCCAGGACCUGAUUACAGACAAGGGAGCAGGCUGCUCGCUGGGCAAAAACUGAACUCAGUAAUUGCACAAUCUGCUGAAAGUCUAAAUGGUGAAACUGACGAAUGACCAAUUUUGCCAAAUUAUGGCAUUUACAGCAGUUCAGGAUGCUUGGAAUGAUU